rnacentral:tRNA from 1 species
UAAAAAUUAGUUAAUUUAUAAUAUAAGCUUGUCAAGCUUAAGUUAUCAGGCACCUGAUAUUUUUAA